AGGAUGAACGCUAGCGGCAGGCCUAAUACAUGCAAGUCGGACGGGAUAGGAGAGCUUGCUUUCCUUGAGAGUGGCGCACGGGUGCGUAACACGUAUGUAACCUACCUUGAUCAGGGGGAUAGCCUCUCGAAAGAGAGAUUAAGACCGCAUAAAAUUGCGACACAGCAUUGUGAUGCAAUCAAAUAUUUAUAGGAUCAAGAUGGGCAUGCGGAACAUUAGCUAGUUGGUAAGGUAAUGGCUUACCAAGGCUACGAUGUUUA
rnacentral:rRNA from 1 species